UACGGGAGGCAGCAGUGGGGAAUAUUGCACAAUGGGGGAAACCCUGAUGCAGCGACGCCGCGUGAGCGAAGAAGUAUUUCGGUAUGUAAAGCUCUAUCAGCAGGGAAGAAAAUGACGGUACCUGACUAAGAAGCACCGGCUAAAUACGUGCCAGCAGCCGCGGUAAUACGUAUGGUGCAAGCGUUAUCCGGAUUUACUGGGUGUAAAGGGAGCGUAGACGGAUGGGCAAGUCUGAUGUGAAANCCCGGGGCUCAACCCCGGGACUGCAUUGGAAACUGUUCAUCUAGAGUGCUGGAGAGGUAAGUGGAAUUCCUAGUGUAGCGGUGAAAUGCGUAGAUAUUAGGAGGAACACCAGUGGCGAAGGCGGCUUACUGGACAGUAACUGACGUUGAGGCUCGAAAGCGUGGGGAGCAAACAGGAUUAGAUACCCUGGUAGUCCACGCCGUAAACGAUGACUACUAGGUGUCGGGUNGCAAAGCNCUUCGGUGCCGCAGCAAACGCAAUAAGUAUUCCACCUGGGGAGUACGUUCGCAAGAAUGAAACUCAAAGGAAAUUGACGG
rnacentral:rRNA from 1 species